GCGCGAUUGCCGCAACAUGGCAGACGGAUCCGAUGCCAAAGCACUCAUGAUAGAGUGUUUCCAAUCGGGUGUGGCGAAAGCCUCGUACGGGUUCGAUUCCCGUAUCGCGCA
rnacentral:tRNA from 1 species